UCUCCGUUGGUGAACCAGCGGAGGGAUCAUUACCGAGUUUACAACUCCCAAACCCCUGUGAACAUACCUAUUUGUUGCCUCGGCGGUGCCUGUUCCGACAGCCCGCCAGAGGACCCCAAACCCUGAUUACAUUUAAGAAGUCUUCUGAGUAAACCGAUUAAAUAAAUCAAAACUUUCAACAACGGAUCUCUUGGUUCUG
rnacentral:misc_RNA from 1 species